UCCUGGCUCAGGACGAACGCUGGCGGCGUGCUUAACACAUGCAAGUCGAGCGGUAAGGCCCUUCGGGGUACACGAGCGGCGAACGGGUGAGUAACACGUGAGCAACCUGCCCCUGACUCCGGGAUAAGCGGUGGAAACGCCGUCUAAUACCGGAUACGACCACCGGGUGCCUGCCUGGUGGUGGAAAGUUGUGUCGGUCAGGGAUGGGCUCGCGGCCUAUCAGCUGGUUGGUGGGGUAACGGCCUACCAAGGCGAUUACGGGUAGCCGGCCUGAGAGGGCGACCGGCCACACUGGGACUGAGACACGGCCCAGACUCCUGCGGGAGGCAGCAGUGGGGAAUAUUGCGCAAUGGGCGAAAGCCUGACGCAGCGACGCCGCGUGGGGGAUGACGGCCUUCGGGUUGUAAACGUCUUUUACCUUCAAGUUGUGAACCUCUUUUACCACCAACGCAGGCUCGGGGUUUUCUCCGGGUUGACGGUAGGUGGGGAAUAAGGACCGGCUAACUACGUGCCAGCAGCCGCGGUAAUACGUAGGGUCCGAGCGUUGUCCGGAAUUAUUGGGCGUAAAGAGCUCGUAGGCGGCGUGUCGCGUCUGCUGUGAAAGACCGGGGCUUAACUCCGGUUCUGCAGUGGAUACGGGCAUGCUUGAGGUAGGUAGGGGAGACUGGAAUUCCUGGUGUAGCGGUGAAAUGCGCAGAUAUCAGGAGGAACACCGGUGGCGAAGGCGGGUCUCUGGGCCUUACCUGACGCUGAGGAGCGAAAGCAUGGGGAGCGAACAGGAUUAGAUACCCUGGUAGUCCAUGCCGUAAACGUUGGGCGCUAGGUGUGGGGACUUUCCACGGUUUCCGCGCCGUAGCUAACGCAUUAAGCGCCCCGCCUGGGGAGUACGGCCGCAAGGCUAAAACUCAAAGGAAUUGACGGGGGCCCGCACAAGCGGCGGAGCAUGUUGCUUAAUUCGACGCAACGCGAAGAACCUUACCAAGGUUUGACAUCACCCGUGGACCUGCAGAGAUGUGGGGUCAUUUGGUUGGCGGGUGACAGGUGGUGCAUGGCUGUCGUCAGCUCGUGUCGUGAGAUGUUGGGUUAAGUCCCGCAACGAGCGCAACCCUUGUUCCAUGUUGCCAGCACGUGAUGGUGGGGACUCAUGGGAGACUGCCGGGGUCAACUCGGAGGAAGGUGGGGAUGACGUCAAGUCAUCAUGCCCCUUAUGUCUUGGGCUGCAAACAUGCUACAAUGGCCGGUACAAUGGGCGUGCGAUGCCGUAAGGUGGAGCGAAUCCCUAAAAGCCGGUCUCAGUUCGGAUUGGGGUCUGCAACUCGACCCCAUGAAGGUGGAGUCGCUAGUAAUCGC
rnacentral:rRNA from 1 species